ensembl:lncRNA
CACUGUUAACCAAUGCAUUCUUGUGUUCUGUGCGUUUUUAAGCCUUCUCUCGGCCUGAAAACGCCUUAAUAGUCAAGAAAGCACCAAAACUAAUUUUGAACCUAAAGGGUUGGAAAACUAUUCACAAACCAUGAUACCAUCAUGAAAAGGAUAAAUGUACUUUCCUGAGGUGCUAGUUUUAGGAAAACACUGUUAACCAAUGCAUUCUUGUGUUCUGUGCGUUUUCAGCUUUCUCUCGGCCUGCAAACGCCUUAAUCGUCAAGAUUGCACCAAAACUUAGUUUGAACAAAAAAGCUUUCUCUCGGCCUGCAAACGCCUUAAUAGUCAUGAAUGCACCAAAACUUAGUUUGAACAAAAAAGGUUGGAAAACUAUUCUCAAACCAUGAUACCAUCAUGAAAAGGAUAAAUGUACUUUCCUGAGAGGCUAGUUUUAGGAAAACACUGUUAACUAAUGCAUUCUUGUGUUCUGUGCGUUUUUAAGCUUUCUCUCGGCCUGCAAACGCCUUAAUAGUCAUGAAUGCACCAAAACUUAGUUUGAACAAAAAAGGUUGGAAAACUAUUCUCAAACCAUGAUACCAUCAUGAAAAGGAUAAAUGUACUUUCCUG